UGUCCGCCCGGGAAUUACAAGCACUAGCUUAAAACCCAAAGGACUUGGCGGUGCUUAAGAUCCACCUAGAGGAGCCUGCUCUAUAACCGAUAACCCCCGUUUAACCUCACCUUCCCUUGCUUAAACCGUCUAUAUACCGCCGUCGUCAGCUUACCCCGUGAAGGUACCAAAGUGGGCAGAACUGGCAGAACCCAAAACGUCAGGUCGAGGUGUAGCAUACGAGAAGGAAAGAAGUGGGCUACAUUCUCUCCCCUCAGAGAAUACGAAAACUGAACUGAAAAUCACAUUAGAAGGAGGAUUUAGCAGUAAGGGGCAAGCAGAGAGUGCCCCUGAAAAAGGCCCUAAAGCGCGCACACACCGCCCGU
rnacentral:rRNA from 1 species